rnacentral:rRNA from 1 species
AGAGUUUGAUCAUGGCUCAGAUUGAACGCUGGCGGCAUGCUUUACACAUGCAAGUCGAACGGUAACAGGUCUUCGGAUGCUGACGAGUGGCGAACGGGUGAGUAAUACAUCGGAACGUGCCUAGUAGUGGGGGAUAACUACUCGAAAGAGUAGCUAAUACCGCAUGAGAUCUACGGAUGAAAGCAGGGGACCUUCGGGCCUUGUGCUACUAGAGCGGCUGAUGGCAGAUUAGGUAGUUGGUGGGGUAAAGGCUUACCAAGCCUGCGAUCUGUAGCUGGUCUGAGAGGACGACCAGCCACACUGGGACUGAGACACGGCCCAGACUCCUACGGGAGGCUGCAGUGGGGAAUUUUGGACAAUGGGCGAAAGCCUGAUCCAGCAAUGCCGCGUGCAGGAUGAAGGCCCUCGGGUUGUAAACUGCUUUUGUACGGAACGAAAAGCCUGGGGCUAAUAUCCCCGGGUCAUGACGGUACCGUAAGAAUAAGCACCGGCUAACUACGUGCCAGCAGCCGCGGUAAUACGUAGGGUGCAAGCGUUAAUCGGAAUUACUGGGCGUAAAGCGUGCGCAGGCGGUUUUGUAAGACAGUGGUGAAAUCCCCGGGCUCAACCUGGGAACUGCCAUUGUGACUGCAAGGCUAGAGUGCGGCAGAGGGGGAUGGAAUUCCGCGUGUAGCAGUGAAAUGCGUAGAUAUGCGGAGGAACACCGAUGGCGAAGGCAAUCCCCUGGGCCUGCACUGACGCUCAUGCACGAAAGCGUGGGGAGCAAACAGGAUUAGAUACCCUGGUAGUCCACGCCCUAAACGAUGUCAACUGGUUGUUGGGUCUUAACUGACUCAGUAACGAAGCUAACGCGUGAAGUUGACCGCCUGGGGAGUACGGCCGCAAGGUUGAAACUCAAAUGAAUUGACGG